UGCCGCGCUUAGAAGAUCAGCAGCAACUCAGGGGUAACAGCACUGUGGUCGGGACUGCUGAGUGGCGCAUGUGCGUGUGUUUCACAGACGCCCCACCACACUCUUCUUGACAGCCUUCGCUCAUCCAUCGUCAAUAUCGAAGGCCAUGUCGAAUAGGUUCUUUCAGAAGUUUUACCUGCGGUGCGGCGACUGCUCGGCGAUCCAGCGUAGUGCCCAGGGGUACAAGCCGAUCGUCAACCCCAUUCUCUUCAAGUCAGAUGAUCACUGCCGCAAUUACCACGACGAACAGCGCCGCGCCGCCGGGUACUCUGGCAUGCUGGUGACGUGCCGCUGUGAUCGCUGCCAGCGCGUGCAUUCUAACUGGAAGGUGCUUGAUGCGCAGCAGUUCCUUGACGCAAAGAUGCGCAUGACGCCGGAGGAGCGCACUCAGCGCUUGUGGGCUUCCAAGUCGUAACAAGCAGAAGGGAGCAAAUGAGGGCUGCGGCAGCACCGCUGCGGGCCACGCACUGCUGGCGGGAUGUCGGGGAGAUCGAGAGGCGCAAGAGUGCAGGGGAACGCCCCCUUUUCAACCCCCGAUGCCCUAUCCUUCGCGUCAUCUCCGCACUUUGAUGCUAUUCUACAAUGUCGUCGCUGCUGAUGUUCAGACGGGAUGCUCAGCGCUGCGUGUUACCGUCGAUGCGUGAUGCUCGCUGCUGCACUUCUGUUCUCCCCUCGAUGCGUGCCGUCUUGGAGGAGGAGGGGGAGGGCUCGCUGUCUCGCUUGCGGUGGGACUGAUUGUGCGAGAGCGUUGGAGGCGCGGGUGGUGGCGCGCACGUGUGUAUGGUGAGGUUUCGCGCUUGGAGAAGGAAAGAAAGGGACGUGAGCGUGUCUGCGUUGGCUGUUGGCGAACCGCUUUUCUCGUUUCGCCGCUUGUUUUGUCGGCUCCCCUCGACCUCUCCCUCCUCCCCUCCAUAUCGGACGUGCAACGGUGCUUGGAAGGGUUCGACUGUUUCUUGCCGAUGUAAAAGUCGUGCUCAUACAUACUGAAGGGGGGGGGGGUGCACGUUCACGCGAUAACGCACAUGGUGGUCACAAAGCAUAGAGUGGGGGCAAGCCCUCUCUUAAUCUAUCAUGCAUGCGGCUAUCGUUGCGCUCCAGACGCAGCCGCAUAUCCGCCGCUCUCCGGUUGUUUAUCUGCAGCAGCACGCGCGACUGCAGCGAGCGUGCGUGGUUGCUGGUGACGUGAACGUGUGUGUGCGCGCACAGAUCGCCUCAGCUCUUCCUUACCCCUCUGUCUUCAUCCCGUCUCUUCUGCUUCGUUUUCCCUCGUUUCUCCACCCGCUGCGGCGGCUGCACGCGGCCCCGCCUCGUUGUUGUUGGUUGUUUGUUUCGCGUGCUUCCGCCACAACAUCCACUAAUGUGCAUCCGCACACGCACCGCCCUACGCGCCCGCACAUGACCUUACACCUUCGAUACGGGAGCAUCCAG
rnacentral:misc_RNA from 1 species